UGGUGGAGUGAUUUGUCUGGUUAAUUCCGUUAACGAACGAGACCUCAGCCUGCUAACUAGUUAUGCGAAUAUUUAUUCGUAGCGAUACUUCUUAGAGGGACUAUUUGUGUUUAAUGAAUGGAAGUUUGAGGCAAUAACA
rnacentral:rRNA from 1 species